rnacentral:tRNA from 3 species
GAGGCUGUGUCCGAGAGGUCUAAGGAGAUUGACUCAAGUUCAAUUGGGCAUUAGUCCGCGUGGGUUCGAACCCCACCGGCCUCA